UACGUAGGGGGCGAGCGUUGUCCGGAUUUAUUGGGCGUAAAGAGCUCGUAGGCGGUUUGGCAAGUCGGGUGUGAAAACUCCGGGCUCAACUCGGAGACGCCACUCGAUACUGCUAUGACUCGAGUCCGGUAGGGGAGUGCGGAAUUCCUGGUGUAGCGGUGAAAUGCGCAGAUAUCAGGAGGAACACCGGUGGCGAAGGCGGCACUCUGGGCCGAUACUGACGCUGAGGAGCGAAAGCGUGGGGAGCGAACAGG
rnacentral:rRNA from 1 species